GCUUCAAGGUGAACGGGCAUAGACUGAAGCCUUUCCUCAGCAAUCCUUCUUUGUUGGAUGCAGUGGUGGAGGAGACGUCUUUGGUCCACCCCACCUACCUUCCUAUCUGACUCAGGGAGUUUCUUUUCUCCUUCCCUCCUCACUUUUAUUGCACUUUGUCUGUAUCUGAUGAUUGUUCUGAUUGUUGAUCUGUUGAUUGUGACACACUGAGGACAUUGUGUCGUUUAAGUGUGGUCUAUUAGGGGAGGUUGUUUUUUUGUUUAGAUUUCGUUUUCUAGUGAAUUUUGUUGAGUCUUGUGUACAGUUUUGCAUGCUUUUUGUGAAUUCUGGACUGUGAUUAGGUUGCUAGUUUCCCUUCACUGCAUUGAUACUCUGUUUUGUUGGACUCCUUGCUCUUCUUUGCUUGGAAGAUAAUCAUGAUGUUUGAGAGUUGGAUUAAUUGUGACCGAUUACUUGUGUGAGAUUUGAGCCAUUUGAUGAUCUUUCUUGUGUGUGAUAUGUCUCUGGAUUGCUUGCACAUUUGCCUUGGCUUGACUCUGUUGAUAAUUCUUGAUUCAUGAGCAUGUUUGAAAAUGAUAAAGGCAUUUUGUUGAUUGAGCCUCUCUAGCCAGAUAGCCUACCUUGUUAUGAUAUCUUUGUGAGCCCCCUUGAGCCUAUACUUCCCUCAUUUCUUUGUUUUGAAGCUCAUACAAUAGCCUAAGUGAAAAACCAUGAUUACCUGAACCUUAGGGAAUUUUGGAGCUUUGGAAUUGUUUUGGGCAUAAGUGUGGUCUCUUUAGAGUUGCAGAUGAAAUGGCUAGUGAGUCCUCUUCUUGCGGUUGCAUUAUAAAUAUCAUGUAUCUUGUCUCUUAGAGUUGUGUUCUGAAAAGAGAGAAAAGAAAAGAGACAAGAUGAAAAAAAAAAAAGAAAAAAAAUACAGAAAAAUGAGAAAAAUUAAAAAAAAAUUGUGUGAAUAAUGGAGUUAAGAAGAGGAUUGAAUUAGAGGUUUUGGGUGUGAUUUGACUGUGUUUACACUUGUUCCCCAUUGCUCCUCUAUUCCUUUUGGUUUAUAGCUUCUUAUCCAGAUGUAUCCUUCAUUGUCCUUGGCCCCAUUACAACCAUGAAAAGACCUUUUGAUUUGAACAUGCAUAUGUGUUUGAGUGUUGAUAUUAGAGGCUUGCCAAGUCUAUCUGUGUGUGCUUUCUUGAGUGCAUUGAGUGACAUUGAUUUACCUUAAACACUUGAGAGAGACACUGAUUGUGUGCAUCUGUGAGGCUCUGUUGCUCUUGAUUCAUCUCUUGAACUGAUUGACUGUUUUCCAUGAACUGAAUUGUUUGGAUGAUUCUGUGAGUAUUUGCUUUCAUUGCUUUUGUGUUGGAUACUGUCCACUUCCUUUCAGUGUCCAGAUUUUGUGAGAAUUGUGCAGCUCUGUUUCUGUUUUGUGAGUCUUUGUUGUCUAUCUAUCGAGUCUGUGUCACCUCCCUGAUGUUUGAGUAGUUCCAUGGUUUUCGUCUUGGUUUUGCCCAGGAGUGCAAAAGACUAAGUGUGGUCUAUUUUGAUGAGUGGUUACUUCUUGAACUACAUUUAGUUUAUUGCACUUAAAUAAACCAGGGAGUUGCGUUUAAUUGUCUGUUAUUUCCCCGUUUUCCGAAUUCUGCUUAAUUUGGUCGGAAAUUUGUAAUUGUGCUAAUUUGGGUUUUCUGAGCUGAUUAAGUGUAUUUUGGUUGCAGGGAAAUUUUGGGAAACAUCAAUUGGAGCAUUAGGGAUGGUGGCAUAAGAUUUCUGAUUCCCCUAAGAAGUUUGGAGAGGACCUUCGUCAACUUGUCUAAUUUUUGGCUGAGAAGGUGAUUCUGAGUAGCUGCAGCAUCUUCAGCCGGAAGAUGUAAGAGUCC
rnacentral:lncRNA from 1 species